AUAAAGUACUCUUGGCUUAACCAUUUCUUUCCUAACUUUCUCCUAAACUCCUAGGGGGUUAGUCAAGUUCUAGCACAAUUGCAUGGCACUAUCAGUUAGUGCAUGUCAUAGAGUCAAUUAAAGGCUUUCUUAGGCAUAUAGAUGGUAGUUUCCCACUUAAAGCCAUAUGAUAGCUAGCUUUAAGCUCUCAGCUUGUGACACCUAUGGCUGAUGCUGCCCUAGACCCCAAGCCAAGUCCUUGAAUUAGGCAAUAGCUCCCUGGGGUGGUGUAACAAAAGCUGUGAUCAUGAGCUUGGUCUGGCUAAGUCUUGAGUAUUUAAAAGUAUCGUGGUCCCUUUUUGUCGACCAUAAAAAUGCCAUGGCCUGGCCAAGCCCAUGCAUACAGCCAAUUCUACCUAAGACCCCGAGAACAAGUCUCUGAAUCAAACGAUGUCCCUUUAGAAUGGUGACAACAAAGUUUGCAUGUACUGUCCUAGCCAAACCAAGUGUUGGUGGUGUCACACCAUUGUUGCCUAUUGGAUGACAAGGACAGUCUUGUGGGCCUUGCUUGUGUUUUUCUUGUGCCAAGUGGUUGUGGCAUGGCCUCGUAUCAUUUUCUCUACUUACUUGUUGAGUAAUCGAUUGGGUGGGUUGUGGACCAGUGUGCAUGGGUACUGCCACUUGUAAGCAAUAGGCAUAUGAGUGGUGCUAUGGUUGUGCAUGUUGGUAGGCUCCAUGCUCGAUGUAUCACAUUGUCGACCCAUCAUCCUUUUCAAUCUCCCUUUAAGUGGUCAUUGUACCUUAGAAUGCAAUAGAGAUCUUAUUUAACAUACCAAAAUCAAUGGAAACCAAUUGUCUUACCAUCCCUUAUUCGUCUUGUGUCCUUAAGGGCUACGAUUUGAUUAAGAUAGUAGAAAGAUGGUCAUGGAAGUCAAAAUCCAUUAAGGUGUAUGUAGCAACUCACUUGCCAAAUCAACUAGCCCUGAAAAUGGAUAGUGCUUAAGUGUGUGACCUAUACCAAACCAUCGAGGCAAGGCCUAGGCCCUAAUGAGUAGGAAGGCAUGACAAUCAUUACAAAACUCAUGGUGUGAGCCUAGGUAGAGCAAUUACUGAUGCAAAGCUUGGUGGUAGUAGCAAAUAUUCAAAUAAGAAGUUUGAAGGCCAAAAAGGGGAAAGGUUCCAUGGGAAUGACACUUGCACAUGGGUUAGUUGAUCCUAAGAGAUGGAGGAAUCCCAUCUGAUAGUAUGUCUAGCAUGAGAUUCAAAAGGGAAUCAAGUUUAAAUUCUUGAACCAAGAUGUGAUAGCUAACAGCAAUGUUAGGGAGUCUGAAGACAUAAAUGAAGGCCUCAGGAAGAGUUAUCUUUUCGGUUUAAUGGCUUGCCCAACCUAGAAAUGGCUUAACCGAAGGUAAGGUCUCAUGGUCAAAAAAGCACUUCAAUUCGCAUGGUGUUCAGUGCACCAUAGACAACCUUUGAAAAUUGGAAGGACCAAGUGUUGUUCAUGCUCGACUGUACUCAUAUUCGUAUAAGGUCUCCAAGGAGAAUAGCCUCUGGUUGAUGGAAUAAUGUAGGCAAGGGAAGUCAACAAAAUGGAUCCAUAACCUUGAAAAAAAGAUUGGUUCUGAAGGUUGGGCAUGAAGGUCCUAGUCCCUAACCCAUUGGCUGUCGGUGCGCUGCUUGAGCUACUCCUGUGAUAAGAGUGAGUCACCAUGUGCCUGCCAGAGGAUGGAUUGGGAAUGGCUCCUACGAGGGCCUUUCCCAAGCAAUGAACAAUCGACUCAAAACUAGUACAAACAAUGGGAAUCCAAUAGUUUAAUUAAAACAAAGCAUUGUAAUGGUCCCUGCGGAUGUUCAUGCAAUGUGUCUAGUGCUAAAGUGAAGAAAUUCAACCAAGCAUAGGUAAACAACAAGAGUAACUAUGACUUUCUUAAGGUAGCCAAAUGCCCUAUCAUCUAAUUAGUGAAACACAUGAAUGAAUUAAUGAGAUUCCCACUAUCCCUAUCUAUUAUCCAAUGAAACCAUAUUCAAAGGAAUGAGCCUGAUAGAAUCAGAAGGGUAAGAAGACCUUGUUAAGCUUAACUCUAGUCUAACUUUGUAAAAUGACUUGAGAGGUGUAGGAAAAGUGGGAGCCCUUAGGUGAAAUUGAAAUACUAGUACUUUUAAUGUUACUUUACUUAUUUCAUGAAUUAGAGGUAGCACAUGACCCAUUUGUUUAGACCCAAUGCCAGCUUAGGAAGGCAUUGCUAGGUGGGAAGUUUGGCUUCGGUGGCACAUCUAUUAAAAGAUAACGUAGGUGUUCUAAGAUGAGCUCAAUGAGAAUAGAAAUCUUGUGUCAAACAAAAGGGUAAAAGCUCGUUUGAUCAUAAUUUCUAGUAUAAAUACGAACCAUGAAAGUUUAGCCUAUAAAUCCUUUAGACUUUUGAAAUUUAAAGCUAGAGGUGUAAAAAAAGUUACCAUAAGGAUAAUUGGCUUGCGGUAGCCAAGUGUUCAUAGUGCCGUUGCUUUUUGAUCCUUCGAUUUUGGUUCUUUCUAUCAUUGUGAAGUAAAAUUCACCAAAAGUUGGAUUGUUCACCCAUCAAUAGGGAACGUGAGCUGGGCUUAGACCAUCAUGAGACAGGUUAGUUUUACCAUGCUAAUGGCAUGUCGCAAUGGUAAUUUAACUUAGUACGAGAAGAAUCAUUGAUUCAUACAAUUGGUCAUUGUGCUUGGUUGAAAAGCCAAUGGCAUGAAGCUACCACAUGAUGAUUAUAACUUAAUGCCUCCAAGUUAAAAUCUGAGCUAGAAGCGAUGCACGUGCUUGUCACCCGAUUGUCGACCUGAAAUAGAGGCCCAUGGCCCCUAAAGGCAUAUGUCAUAGGUACAACCCCCAUGGUGGACAAGCCGUGUGGGCCUCUUUAGAGCUUAAUUCCCACCAAACAACUGGUGGAAUCUUUUAUAGGUAACUUAAAUAUGCAAUGGGGUAUUGUAAGUGGUAGAGUGGCCUUGCUAGCAAAAUCCACUGAGAUUGAAUUCUUUGUCACUUUGAUUUGC
rnacentral:rRNA from 1 species